CAAUAGCGUAUAUUAAAGUUGUUGCGGUUAAAAAGCUCGUAGUUGGAUUUCUGUUGAGAGCAGCGCGUCUACCUUUUGGGUAAGUAUGUUGCUUGGUCUCGGCAUCUUCGUGGAAAACGUUUCUGCGCUUGAUUGCGUGGGGCGGGGUUCACGACUUUUACUUUGAGGAAAUUAGAGUGUUCACGGCAGGCAUACGCCUUGAAUAUAUUAGCAUGGAAUAAUAACAUAGGGCUUACGGCCUAUUUUGUUGGUUUCUAGGCUGCAGGCAAUGAUUAAUAGGGACAAUUGGGGGCAUUCGUAUUAACGCGUCAGAGGUGAAAUUCUUGGAUUGCGUUACGACGAACUACCGCGAAAGCAUUUGCCAAGGAUGUUUUCAUUGA
rnacentral:rRNA from 1 species